GACGAACGCUGGCGGCGUGCCUAAUACAUGCAAGUAGAACGAGUUGCGAACGGGUGAGUAACGCGUGGUAACCUGCCUCAUAGCGGGGGACAACUAUUGGAAACGAUAGCUAAUACCGCAUACCAUCAGCUGUGCCCAGAUGGGCUUAGCUAGUAGGUGGGGUAACGGCUCAACUAGGCUACGAUCCCUAGCUGGUCUGAGAGGAUUACCAGCCACACUGGAACUGAGACACGGUCCAGACUCCUACGUGUGGCAGCAUUGGGGAAUAUUGCACAAUGGGCGCAAGCCUGAUGCAGCCAUGCCGCGUGUGUGAAGAAGGCCUUCGGGUUGUAGAGCACUUUCAGCGGGGAGGCGUUACCCGCAGAAUAAGCACCGGCUAACUCCGUGCCAGCAGCCGCGGUAAUAC
rnacentral:rRNA from 1 species